AGCAGCCGCGGUAAUUCCAGCUCCAAUAGCGUAUAUUAAAGUUGUUGCAGUUAAAAAGCUCGUAGUUGAAUUUCGGGGUUAGUAGUUUGGUCGUGCCAAUGGUAUGUACUGGGCUCACUGAUUCCUCCUUCCUGAUGAACUGUAAUGCCAUUAAUUUGGUGUUGCAGGGAAACAGGACUGUUACUUUGAAAAAUUAGAGUGUUUAAAGCAAGCUAACGCUUGAAUACAUUAGCAUGGAAUAAUGAAAUAGGACGUUCGAACCUAUUUUGUUGGUUUCUAGGAUUGACGUAAUGAUUAAUAGGGAUAGUUGGGGGCAUUAGUAUUCAAUUGUCAGAGGUGAAAUUCUUGGAUUUAUUGAAGACUAACUACUGCGAAAGCAUUUGCCAAGGAUGUUUUCAUUAAUCAAGAACGAAAGUUAGGGGAUCGAAGACGAUCAGAUACCGUCGUAGUCUUAACCAUAAACUAUGCCGACUAGGGAUCGGAUGAUGUUAAUUUUUAAUGACUCAUUCGGCGCCUUACG
rnacentral:misc_RNA from 1 species